rnacentral:rRNA from 1 species
CCGUAGGUGAACCUGCGGAAGGAUCAUUAACGAAUUGUAAUGGGGGUUGAUGCUGGCAAGCUACCUUUUGGCUGCAUGUGCUCGCCUCCAACAAUCUUUAUCCACACACCUGUGCACCUUCUGAGGGUUUUUCGAGUAGAGAUUGCCGUCUGGUGGUCUUUCUUAGAUAUUCCCUCUUUACAUACACUGAUUUCAAUGUUGAACGUGCUCGUGCCGAUAUGGCCGUAAUAAAAUACAACUUUUAACAACGGAUCUCUUGGCUCUCGCAUCGAUGAAGAACGCAGCGAAAUGCGAUAAGUAAUGUGAAUUGCAGAAUUCAGUGAAUCAUCGAAUCUUUGAACGCAUCUUGCGCUCCCUGGUAUUCCGGGGAGCACGCCUGUUCGAGUGUCGCGAAAUUCUCAAGUCGUGGAUACUUUUUGUAAAGUGUUCUCAGCUUGGUUAUUGGGCUUUGCCGUAUCCUUUUGGGAUGGCUGGCCUUAAAAGCAUUAGCUGAUCCUCACGAUGGCAUUGGUUCUACUCAGCGUGAUAAUAAUCUGACCGCCGAGGACAUCUUUCGGGGUGACCAAUUCUCGUUUGGGUUGCUCU